rnacentral:rRNA from 1 species
GAUGAACGCUAGCGGCAGGCCUAAUACAUGCAAGUCGAGGGGCAGCACGGUUAGCAAUAACUGGUGGCGACCGGCGCACGGGUGCGUAACACGUAUACAAUCUACCUUAAACAGGGGGAUAGCCUUUCGAAAGAGAGAUUAAUACCCCGUAAUAAAUUGAACGGCAUCGUUUGAUUUUGAAAGCUCCGGCGGUUUGAGAUGAGUAUGCGUCUGAUUAGCUAGUUGGUGAGGUAACGGCUCACCAAGGCGACGAUCAGUAGGGGAUCUGAGAGGACUAACCCCCCACACUGGUACUGAGACACGGACCAGACUCCUACGGGAGGCAGCAGUAAGGAAUAUUGGUCAAUGGAGGCAACUCUGAACCAGCCAUGCCGCGUGCAGGAUGACGGCCCUAUGGGUUGUAACUGCUUUUAUACAAGAGAAAACCCUGGUACGUGUACCAGGUUGAUAGUAUUGUAAGAAUAAGCAUCGGCUAACUUCGUGCCAGCAGCCGCGGUAA